rnacentral:rRNA from 1 species
UACGGAGGGUGCGAGCGUUGUCCGGAAUCACUGGGCGUAAAGGGCGCGUAGGCGGCCUGGCAAGUCGAUGGUGAAAGCCCGAGGCUCAACUUCGGGUCGGCCACUGAUACUGCUGGGCUUGAGUCGACUAGAGGCAGAUGGAAUUCCGGGUGUAGCGGUGGAAUGCGUAGAGAUCCGGAAGAACACCGGUGGCGAAGGCGGUCUGCUGGGGUCGAACUGACGCUGAGGCGCGAAAGCUAGGGUAGCAAACGGG